rnacentral:tRNA from 1 species
AAGAAAUUAGUUAAAUAAUAACAUUAAGAUGUCAAUUUAAAAUUACUAUGGGGUAUUUCUUG